rnacentral:rRNA from 1 species
AUGAGUACUCUAAUUAGUGAUUUCGUCCAAAAACUCUCUACGCUCUUGUUCCGGCGCAAAUGGAAGAACAGAUUCGGACGAAGCAGCCCGGCCCGGCCCGCGGCCACAAGCCGAACGAGACCGUGGCCCUCAUCGACCGCGCCACCUCCACCACGGCCCCCUCCGUCGACCCCGCCCUCCUCCGCGCGCGCCUCCGAUGGCGCCGUCCGCGACGCCUUCCGCUUCCUCCUCUCCCUCAUGGCCAAGCCCCACUCCCACGUGCGGCUCCUGGCCUUCAGCAUCGUGGACGAGCUCUUCAUGCGCUCCAAGCUCUUCCGCUCCCUCCUCGCUGACGGGCUGGACGGAUUCGUCCCGCUGGCCGUCGGCUUCCGCACCAACGAGCAGCUCCCCCCGCCGGCAGCCUCCGCGGCCACGGUCCGAAAGGCCGCCAUCCAGGCGCUCGAGCGCUGGCACCACCUCUUCGGCGUGCACUACCGCCAGCUCCGUCUCGCAGUCGACUACCUCAAGUCGUCCGCGCGCAUCCAGUUCCCCGGUCUCCGCGCGGCCGUCGAGGCCCGUGCCGCGCGGGAGGCACGCACGCAGGAGAUCUUGACUGCCAAGGUCGAACAGUUGCGGUCCACGAUUGGAUCCAUAAAGGCUGAAAUCCGGUCCACCAUCGAAGAGAUCCGCAACGGGCUGGGCAUCAUCCGGGCUGAGUAUGAGAAAUUCGAGCGUUAUGCAGAUGAGGAAGAGGAGGAGGAGAUUGCUUCAAUGGCAAUGCGGAGUAUCAGGACAGCAUCAUUGAUGGCUGGGCAGUGGGUGCCUGAAACUCAGGAAAACGAGGCAGUUUUUGAUGCGUUGAGGGAGGCGUACCGGCUCCUUAUAUCGAAGCAUUUCAGCACCAUUCAGGAUUGGAUAUCUGUGCUUGUUAGGGUCAAUCUUGCAGAUAAUCGGUUCAGAGAUUCUGCAUUGAAGGAAUUCAUUGAUGUUAAGAAUGAAAUACGUGCUGAAGAAGGAUGUUCAGGAGGAAGAUGA